CCUACGGGGGGCUGCAGUGGGGAAUUUUGGACAAUGGGGGAAACCCUGAUCCAGCCAUCCCGCGUGUGCGAUGAAGGCCUUCGGGUUGUAAAGCACUUUUGGCAGGAAAGAAACGUCGCGGGUUAAUACCCCGCGAAACUGACGGUACCUGCAGAAUAAGCACCGGCUAACUACGUGCCAGCAGCCGCGGUAAUACGUAGGGUGCAAGCGUUAAUCGGAAUUACUGGGCGUAAAGCGUGCGCAGGCGGUUCGGAAAGAAAGAUGUGAAAUCCCAG
rnacentral:rRNA from 1 species